AUUACUGAGCGCGAGGCCCCGCAGCGCGCACGCGCUGCGGCGGUUGACCCUCCACCCGUGUGAACUCUUAUCUGUUGCUUUGGCGGGCCGGGCUCGACCUGCCGGCUCCGGCUGGCGAGUGCCCGUCAGAGAAGCCCCAACUCGUGCUGUGAGUGUUGUCUGAGGAAAUGUGGAAUUAGUAAAACUUUCAACAACGGAUCUCUUGGCUCUGGCAUCGAUGAAGAACGCAGCGAAAUGCGAUAAGUAAUGUGAAUUGCAGAAUUUAGUGAAUCAUCGAAUCUUUGAACGCACAUUGCGCCCCCCGGCAUUCCGAGGGGCAUGCCUGUUCGAGCGUCAGAACACCCCUCAAGCCUAGCUUGGUCUUGGGGCUCGCCGGCUCGGCGGCCCCUAAACGCAGUGGCGGUGCUGGUGUGCUCUCCGCGUAGUCAUGUAUCUCGCGACAGAGUGGCGACGGCACCCGCCAGAACCCCAGUCUUUGGAUGACCUCGGAUCAGGUAGGGAUACCCGCUGAACUUAAGCAUAUCAAUAAGCGGAGGA
rnacentral:rRNA from 1 species